GCAGGUGUAAUGCUUCAUUACUUGUUAUUAGCAGGUAUAAUGCUUCAUUACUUGUUAUUAGCAGGUAUAAUGCUUUAUUGCUUGUUUAUAAGCAGGUAUAAUGCUUAAUUGCUAGUUUAUAAGCAGGUAUAAUGCUUUAUUGCUUGUUUAUAAGCAGGUAUAAUGCUUUAUUGCUUGUUUAUAAGCAGGUAUAAUGCUUCAUUACUUGUUUAUAAGCAGGUAUAAUGCUUCAUUACUUGUUUAUAAGCAGGUAUAAUGCUUCAUUACUUGUUUAUAAGCAGGUAUAAUGCUUUAUUGCUUGUUUAUAAGCAGGUAUAAUGCUUUAUUGCUUGUUUAUAAGCAGGUAUAAUGCUUUAUUGCUUGUUUAUAAGCAGGUAUAAUGCUUUAUUGCUUGUUAUAAGCAUGUAAUGUCCGUUAGAAUGUCUUAUGAGGUUUAUGAUAUAUACUUGCAGACUAAGUAAAGUGUUACUGGUUAUUACACCCACGCUGUCUAAAAGGGACUUAUUAAUAAUACUAGUAAAGGAAUUCUGAGGUUAAAUUAACAUUAUUCAAAUGGAAUAUUAAGUCAACAGUACAGUUUACAUAUCUGACAACAGUUAUAUACAUUGUUCACUGUGAGUAUCUGUCUGACUACAGUUAUUCUGGAAGUACGGGACUUUCCAUACCUUUCUCCUGCAGAGACCACAAUAACAACAAAUGUCUGUUGAGCUGAAGCAAGAAUUGAACACAUUCCAAAAACGACAAAAAAAUGAUUCAAUAAAUGACUCAUCGUCUUCAAAACCCUAUUGUUGCAUGUGUAAAUGUGUUUUGGUUUUAAAGAUUAACAAGAAUUUGUAUAUUGUUGUUGUGAUGCUUUUAUGUGUUAAAAUAAAAAAAAAGACUAAAAACAAA